CAUGCAGUCGAACGGUAACAGGCCGCAAGGUGCUGACGAGUGGCGAACGGGUGAGUAAUGCAUCGGAACGUGCCCAGUCGUGGGGGAUAACGCAGCGAAAGCUGCGCUAAUACCGCAUACGAUCUAUGGAUGAAAGCGGGGGACCGUAAGGCCUCGCGCGAUUGGAGCGGCCGAUGUCAGAUUAGGUAGUUGGUGGGGUAAAGGCUCACCAAGCCGACGAUCUGUAGCUGGUCUGAGAGGACGACCAGCCACACUGGAACUGAGACACGGUCCAGACUCCUACGGGAGGCAGCAGUGGGGAAUUUUGGACAAUGGGCGCAAGCCUGAUCCAGCAAUGCCGCGUGCAGGAAGAAGGCCUUCGGGUUGUAAACUGCUUUUGUACGGAACGAAACGGUCCGGGUUAAUACCCUGGGCUAAUGACGGUACCGUAAGAAUAAGCACCGGCUAACUACGUGCCAGCAGCCGCGGUAAUACGUAGGGUGCAAGCGUUAAUCGGAAUUACUGGGCGUAAAGCGUGCGCAGGCGGUGAUGUAAGACAGUCGUGAAAUCCCCGGGCUCAACCUGGGAAUUGCGAUUGUGACUGCAUCGCUGGAGUGCGGCAGAGGGGGAUGGAAUUCCGCGUGUAGCAGUGAAAUGCGUAGAUAUGCGGAGGAACACCGAUGGCGAAGGCAAUCCCCUGGGCCUGCACUGACNCUCAUGCACGAAAGCGUGGGGAGCA
rnacentral:rRNA from 1 species